AGUGAACGCUGGCGGUAGGCCUAACACAUGCAAGUCGAACGGCAGCACAGUAAGAGCUUGCUCUUACGGGUGGCGAGUGGCGGACGGGUGAGGAAUACAUCGGAAUCUACUUUUUCGUGGGGGAUAACGUAGGGAAACUUACGCUAAUACCGCAUACGACCUACGGGUGAAAGCAGGGGAUCUUCGGACCUUGCGCGAUUGAAUAAGCCGAUGUCGGAUUAGCUAGUUGGCGGGGUAAAGACCCACCAAGGCGACGAUCCGUAGCUGGUCUGAGAGGAUGAUCAGCCACACUGGAACUGAGACACGGUCCAGACUCCUACGGGAGGCAGCAGUGGGGAAUAUUGGACAAUGGGCGCAAGCCUGAUCCAGCCAUACCGCGUGGGUGAAGAAGGCCUUCGGGUUGUAAAGCCCUUUUGUUGGGAAAGAAAAGCAGCAGGUUAAUACCCCGCUGUUCUGACGGUACCCAAAGAAUAAGCACCGGCUAACUUCGUG
rnacentral:rRNA from 1 species